UGAUAAUUGGCAGCACUUUUGUGUUCCUGAUAUUUAUGGGCAGUGUGUGCUUUCCAUCUGCCUACUGUCUUUUUCCUGCCGACGUGUUUGAUUUUUCCUGGUGUCUCUGUGUAGCCCUGUGCCAUUCCUGGCUGGUGUCGUUCCUCUGGGGAAGAAGGCAGCUCUGCUGAACCAGCUACAUCCCUUGGCCCGGCAGGAGGCAGGACGAGGGAGUGAGCUGCGCAAAGAACAUGUCCACCUGGGCUUGCUCCUCCGAACACCUUCAACACUCUCAGCCUCCUCUCCCACUCCGUUCUCCUCUUCUGAGCUUUCCCGAAUCACCAGUGCGUGGAGGCGGCCUCUCGUUCCUGUCCACCUCAUCACAGGCCGACACCCUAAUCACAGACAACGGAAAUGGCUCCUGGACUCAGGGUCCAGUCCGGCUCCCACCCACACAGAAGGUAAAGGAUGAACAAACUGAAAAUCAACAACUCUUCUUCACCCGUCAGAGAACUGAGUCACUGGGCAAAGCACGGACCCCGAAUCUGGAGGCACAGACAAGCGGGUUCCAAGGACCUCGGCUGACAGGAGCAGAACCUCUGCGGGGCCAGCGCCAGGGACCUGAGCUGCCCCUGAUGAAUUUCUGGAGAUGCCACCUGGACAAAUGAGAGAGAAAAAAUCCAGGGGGACCUAGUCAUGGGGGACCUGCACUUGGUGAAUUUUACCUCUGAGAGCUCCAC
rnacentral:lncRNA from 10 species